GACGUAGGGGGCCAGCGUUGUUCGGAAUUACUGGGUGUAAAGGGUUCGUAGGCGGCCCGGUAAGUCCGUUGUGAAAGUCAAAGGCUCAACCUUUGAAAGCCGAUGGAUACUGCCGGGCUGGAGUCCGGAAGAGGCGAGUGGAAUUCCUGGUGUAGCGGUGGAAUGCGCAGAUAUCAGGAGGAACACCAAUAGCGAAGGCAGCUCGCUGGGACGGUACUGACGCUGAGGCGCGAAAGCGUGGGGAGCGAACAGG
rnacentral:rRNA from 1 species